CCAGCAGCCGCGGUAAUUCCAGCUCCAAUAGCGUAUAUUAAAGUUGUUGCAGUUAAAAAGCUCGUAGUUGGAUUUCUGGCAGGAGCGGCCGGUCACACACUCUGUGUGUGAACUUGUGCUGUCUCUGGCCAUCCUUGGGGAGAUCCUGUUUGGCAUUAAGUUGUCGGGCAGGGGAUACCCAUCGUUUACUGUGAAAAAAUUAGAGUGUUUAAAGCAGGCUUAUGCCGUUGAAUAUAUUAGCAUGGAAUAAUAAGAUAGGACUUCGGAACUAUUUUGUUGGUUUGCGUUACGAAGUAAUGAUUAAUAGGGACAGUUGGGGGUAUUCGUAUUUCGUUGUCAGAGGUGAAAUUCUUGGAUUUCCGAAAGACGAACUACUGCGAAAGCAUUUACCAAGGAUGUUUUCAUUAAUCAAG
rnacentral:rRNA from 1 species